ensembl:lncRNA
GUGUUUAUGGAGAGUCAUAAACCUUACCCGCAGGCCAACGUUAUGACAGGGGCUAGAAGGGAAAAGAGAGAGGCUAGAGAGGAAGAGAGAGGGGCUAGAGAGGAAGAGAGAGAGGCUAGAGAGGAUGAGAGAGGGGCUAGAGAGGAAGAGAGAGGGGCUAGAGGGGGCUAGAGAGGAAGAGAGAGGGGCUAGAGAGGAAAAGAGAGGGGCUAGAGAGGAAGAGAGAGAGGCUAGAGAGGACGAGAGAGGGGCUAGAGAGGAAGAGAGAGGGGCUAGAGGGGGUCUAGAGAGGAAGAGAGAGGGGCUAGAGAGGAAGAGAGAGAGGCUAGAGAGGAAGGAGACAGGGGCUAGAGAGGAAGAGAGAGGGGCUAGAGAGGAAGAGAGAGGGGCUAGAGAGGAAGAGAGAGGGACUAGAGAGGAAGAGAGAGGGGCUAGAGAGGAAGAGAGAGGGGCUAGAGGGGGCUAGAGAGGAAGAGAGAGGGA